UUCGCAAUGCCCGAAAGGGUGACGAAGCGACGCCGCGUGGGUGAGGAAGGCCUUCGGGUUGUAAAGCCCUGUCAGGAGUUAAGAAAUGUAGACUCGCUAAUAUCGGGUCUAUUUGACAAAGGCUCCAAAGGAAGCCACGGCUAACUCUGUGCCAGCAGCCGCGGUAAUACAGGGGUGGCAAGCGUUGUUCGGAAUUAUUGGGCGUAAAGAGCACGUAGGUGGAUUCGUAAGUCAGACGUGAAAGCCUUCUGUUCAACGGAAGAAUUGCAUCUGAAACUACAAACCUUGAGUGUAGGAGGGGAGAAUGGAACUUCUGGUGGAGCGGUGAAAUGCGUAGAUAUCAGAAGGAACGCCGGCGGCGAAAGCGAUUCUCUGGCCUAUUACUGACACUCAGUGUGCGAAAGCUAGGGGAGCAAACGGGAUUAGAUACCCCGGUAGUCCUAGCCGUAAACGAUGGGCACUAAGUAGAGGGGUUUU
rnacentral:rRNA from 1 species